rnacentral:lncRNA from 1 species
UUGCCUGGUCUGUAUCAAAAGACAGAAUCUUGAUGACUAAGACAUUUUCUUUGGUACUACAAGAAGAAUCCAGCUCUCUACUUCUAUCAGCUCCUGGAUGACUACAAGAAAGGGAACCUCCACAUCAUUCCAGACACUCCUCUGGCUGAGGAAAGAUCAGGAGAUGACAGUGAUGUGUUGAUAGACAGAGACAUCAUGGCCUCCAUGCAGAGGAAUGUGUGGAUGGACAUAUAUUUAAGGAAGACACUAAACCAGAAAAUACCACAUUACACCCUCUUAAAAGACUUCUAAGAUUGUUGUCAUGCCUACCACAGACAUUCAGAUGAUGUGUAUUCUUGAUUGUGAUUUCAUGUUUGGAGCUGAUGAAGGAGAAAGUACCUGGAAUGUCCUAGAAUUCUCAAGACCCAGGAGAUGAAUAUAUGCCUGAGAAGAAGAACUAGUGUGGAACUGUCAGCCAGGUUUUUGAUGAGUGCUCAGACUGCUUCCUGAUCCAGCACCACAUUUACUAUAGUGGACAGAUGCUCUAGUCUCUGAUGAGGAGUUGCUAGCUGUUAGGAAGAACCUGGAAUGGGCUCCACUGCAUGAGGUUUGAAGUCUCCAGAGCAGCAAAGAGAGUGGGGAGUAGAACUCAUCAUCUUUAGGUCACUCAGCAUC